rnacentral:rRNA from 1 species
GACGAACGCUGGCGGCGUGCUUAACACAUGCAAGUCGAACGGAAAGGCACUGCUUUUGUGGGGUGCUCGAGUGGCGAACGGGUGAGUAACACGUGAGUAACCUGCCCUUGACUUUGGGAUAACCUCAGGAAACCGGGGCUAAUACCGGAUAGGAGCUCCUGCCGCAUGGUGGGGGUUGGAAAGUUUCGGCGGUUGGGGAUGGACUGGUGGCUUAUCAGCUUGUUGGUGGGGUCGUGGGUUACCAAGGCUACGACGGAUAGCCGAAGUGAGGGGGUGAUCGGCCAGACUGGAACUGAGACACGGUCCAGAUUCCUACGGGAGGAAGAAGUAGGGAAGCUUCGGCAAUGGGCGAAAGCCUGACGGAGCAACGCCGCGUGAGUGACGAAGGUCUUCGGAUCGUAAAAGGCUGUUAUUAGGGAAGAACAUAUGUGUAAGUAACUGUGCACAGCUGGACGGUACCUAAUCAGAAAGCCACGGCUAACUACGUG